UGCCAGACUCCUACGGGAGGCAGCAGUGGGGGAUAUUGCACAAUGGGGGGAACCCUGAUGCAGCGACGCCGCGUGGGUGAAGGAGUGCUUCGGCAUGUAAAGCCCUAUCGGCAGGGAAGAAGCAAGACGGUACCUGACUAAGAAGCCCCGGCUAACUACGUGCCAGCAGCCGCGGUAAUACGUAGGGGGCGAGCGUUAUCCGGAUUCACUGGGUGUAAAGGGGGGGCAGACGGCGAUGCAAGUCUGAAGUGAAAGCCCGGGGCUCAACCCCGGGACUGCUUUGGAAACUGUAUGGCUGGAGUGCUGGAGAGGCAAGCGGAAUUCCUAGUGUAGCGGUGAAAUGCGUAGAUAUUAGGAAGAACACCAGUGGCGAAGGCGGCUUGCUGGACAGUAACUGACGUUGAGGCUCGAAAGCGUGGGGAGCAAACAGGAUUAGAUACCCUCGUAC
rnacentral:rRNA from 1 species